rnacentral:rRNA from 1 species
CCUACGGGAGGCUGCAGUGGGGAAUAUUGCACAAUGGGGGAAACCCUGAUGCAGCGACGCCGCGUGAGUGAAGAAGUAUUUCGGUAUGUAAAGCUCUAUCAGCAGGGAAGAAAUAAAGUCCUUCGGACUUUGGACGGUACCUGACUAAGAAGCCCCGGCUAACUACGUGCCAUCAGCCGCGGUAAUACGUAGGGGGCAACCGUUAUCCGGAUUUACUGGUUUUAAAGGGAGCGUAGACGGCAUCGCAAGUCGGGUGUGAAAUCCCCUGGCUUAACCAUGGAACUGCUUGGGAAACUGUGCAGCUGGAGUGGAGGAGAGGUAAGCGGAAUUCCUAGUGUAGCGGUGAAAGGCGUAGAUAUUAGGAGGAACACCAGUGGCGAAGGCGGCUUACUGGACUGUAACUGACGUUGAGGCUCGAAAGCGUGGGGAGCAAACAGGAUUAGAUACCCCUGUAGUC